rnacentral:lncRNA from 11 species
GUGAAAUUGUUACAGCCUGAAUCUCUCUGCUGGUGAACCUUGACUUUGGUAUCUGGAAUGUAUUUUGGCUUGCAACCUCAGUGUUGGUGAGAUUACUUGGUUUUGAACAUUUUGGAAAGGAUUUUGGACUACUCUUGUGUCUUACCCUUAUUUUGGCUGACUGCUGUGGAUGACUUCAGACUGCUUUGGACUAUGAUACAGUGUGCAUCUGUUUAAUAGUAAUUUGGUGGACAGGACUGUGACAGCUGCUCCCAGGCUAUGGAACUCCCUGCCAAGAGAGACUAGGAUGGCCUUAUCUCUACUGUCCUUAGGCAAGCAGAGAGGUUUUCUCUUCUUCCAAACCCCCUUGCGCGUGUGAAGAAAGCAGCUCUGU